AGCAGCCGCGGUAAUUCCAGCUCCAAUAGCGUAUAUUAAAGUUGUUGCAGUUAAAAAGCUCGUAGUUGAAUUUCGGGAUUAGUACGCUGGUCGUGCCUUCGGUACGUACUGGUGUUACUGAUUCCUACCUUCUGACGAACCAUCAUGUCAUUAAUUUGGUGUGGUGAGGAAUCAGGACUGUUACUUUGAAAAAAUUAGAGUGUUUAAAGCAGGCUCGCGCUUAAAUACAUUAGCAUGGAAUAAUGAAAUAGGACGUUGAUCCUAUUUUGUUGGUUUUUAGGAUCAACGUAAUGAUUAAUAGGGAUAGUUGGGGGCAUUAGUAUUCAAUUGUCAGAGGUGAAAUUCUUGGAUUUAUUGAAGACUAACUACUGCGAAAGCAUUUGCCAAGGAUGUUUUCAUUAAUCAAGAACGAAAGUUAGGGGAGUCGAAGACGAUCAGAUACCGUCGUAGUCUUAACCAUAAACUAUAGCCGACUAGGGAUCGGAUGAUGUUAAUUUUUUAAUUGUACUCAUUCGGCGUC
rnacentral:rRNA from 1 species